AUGCUGCUAAGGAAGAUGACUCUCUUGGAAGACUGGUGAAUGAUGAUCAUGUUAGCCCAAACAGCAAAAUGAAAACAAUCACAGUAGAGGGGAAACCCCAUCUGUGUUUAUUUGCAACAAGGAGCAUUAGUCCUAAAGAAGAGAUUACAUACAACUACGGUGACUCUGAAUGGCCAUGGAGAUGCAAGACAGCAAAUAAGAAAGACCAACUGCAACCUCAAGAACAGCUGAUGCAGCAGAUCAGGUUGUUCCUGAAGAAGGACCCUCUCCCAGUGCCACAAUAGUGACCCAUUCACC